rnacentral:misc_RNA from 1 species
AUACAUAUCUCUAUUCUAACAAUUACUAAUCAUUGUUCUCCUAAAAUAGCCUGGAAAUUAAGCAGAUACUUUGAUUUCAUGCAAAGGUGCAAGAUUACAUAAGGCAUCUCAUUGGCUCAUUGCAUCACUUAUAGAGGAGUAAAAUCUAUAUAGUCAUGAUAAAAUCUUACAGCCACAAAACCCAUAAGAAUAUUCCACAGAAAU